CCUACGGGUGGCAGCAGUGAGGAAUAUUGGUCAAUGGGCGCGAGCCUGAACCAGCCAAGUAGCGUGAAGGAUGACUGCCCUACGGGUUGUAAACUUCUUUUAUAAAGGAAUAAAGUGAGGCACGUGUGCCGUUUUGUAUGUACUGUAUGAAUAAGGAUCGGCUAACUCCGUGCCAGCAGCCGCGGUAAUACGGAGGAGACGAGCGUUAUCCGGAUUUAUUGGGUUUAAAGGGAGCGUAGAUGGGUUGUUAAGUCAGUUGUGAAAGUUUGCGGCUCAACCGUAAAAUUGCAAUUGAUACUGGCAGUCUUGUGUACCGUUGCGGUAGGCGGUAUUCGUGGUGUAGCGGU
rnacentral:rRNA from 1 species